GAUAUCUCGGCUCUCGCAUCGAUGAAGAACGUAGCGAAAUGCGAUACCUGGUGUGAAUUGCAGAAUCCCGCGAACCAUCGAGUCUUUGAACGCAAGUUGCGCCCGAGGCCACUCGGCCGAGGGCACGCCUGCCUGGGCCACA
rnacentral:rRNA from 1 species